rnacentral:rRNA from 1 species
UAGGGAAUCUUCGGCAAUGGACGAAAGUCUGACCGAGCAACGCCGCGUGAGUGAAGAAGGUUUUCGGAUCGUAAAACUCUGUUGUUAGAGAAGAACAAGGACGUUAGUAACUGAACGUCCCCUGACGGUAUCUAACCAGAAAGCCACGGCUAACUACGUGCCAGCAGCCGCGGUAAUACGUAGGUGGCAAGCGUUGUCCGGAUUUAUUGGGCGUAAAGCGAGCGCAGGCGGUUUCUUAAGUAUGAUGUGAAAGCCCCCGGCUCAACCGGGGAGGGUCAUUGGAAACUGGGAGGCUUGAGUGCGGAAGAGGAGAGUGGAAUUCCAUGUGUAGCGGUGAAAUGCGUAGAUAUAUGGAGGAACACCAGUGGCGAAGGCGGCUCACUGGUCUGUAACUGACGCUGAGGCUCGAAAGCGUGGGGAGCAAACAGG